rnacentral:rRNA from 1 species
CCUACGGGGGGCUGCAGUGGGGAAUUUUGGGCAAUGGGCGAAAGCCUGACCCAGCAACGCCGCGUGAAGGAUGAAAUCCCUCUGGGAUGUAAACUUCGAAAGUCGGGAAAGAAAUCGCCAUGGAGAAUACCUGUGGUGGAUGACGGUACCCGACGUAAGCCCCGGCUAACUACGUGCCAGCAGCCGCGGUAAUACGUAGGGGGCAAGCGUUGUUCGGAAUUACUGGGCGUAAAGGGCGCGUAGGCGGCAUGGCAAGUCGGGAGUGAAAGCCCGGGGCUCAACCCCGGAACUGCUUUCGAAACUGCCAAGCUAGAGUACGGAAGGGGCAACUGGAAUUCCCAGUGUAGCGGUGAAAUGCGUAGAUAUUGGGAAGAACACCGGAGGCGAAGGCGGGUUGCUGGGCCGAUACUGACGCUGAGGCGCGAAAGCCAGGGGAGCAAACGGGAUUAGAUACCCCAGUAGUC